rnacentral:rRNA from 1 species
UACAGAGGUGUCAACCGUUGUUCGGAAUUACUGGGCGUAAAGGGCUCGUAGGCGGCCAACUAAGUCAGACGUGAAAUCCCUCGGCUUAACCGGGGAACUGCGUCUGAUACUGGAUGGCUUGAGUUUGGGAGAGGGAUGCGGAAUUCCAGGUGUAGCGGUGAAAUGCGUAGAUAUCUGGAGGAACACCGGUGGCGAAGGCGGCAUCCUGGACCAACACUGACGCUGAGUGAGCGAAAGCCAGGGGAGCAAACGGG